UGAUUGAAUGGCUUAGUGAGGUCUCCGGAUUGGCUUUGGGGAGCCGGCGACGGCACCCUAUUGCUGAGAAGCUGAUCAAACUUGGUCAUUUAGAGGAAGUAAAAGUCGUAACAAGGUUUCCGUAGGUGAACCUGCGGAAGGAUCAUUAUCGAAUUAUAAGCGAGGGUUGUCGCUGGCCUUGAAAGAGGCAUGUGCACGCCCGAGCUCUUAAAUCCACAACACACCUGUGAACCCACCGUAGGCCUUCGGGCUUAUGUAUCAUAUACUCUGAAUGUGUCAUAGAAUGUUCAUGUUGCCUUAAAACGCAAUCAAAUACAACUUUCAACAACGGAUCUCUUGGCUCUCGCAUCGAUGAAGAACGCAGCGAAAUGCGAUAAGUAAUGUGAAUUGCAGAUUUUCAGUGAAUCAUCGAAUCUUUGAACGCACCUUGCGCUCCUUGGUAUUCCGAGGAGCAUGCCUGUUUGAGUGUCAUUAAAUUCUCAACCCCACCGAUUUGCUUUGGGGGGAUUGGACUUGGAGUGUGCUGGCGAAGGUCGGCUCCUCUUUAAAUGCAUCAGUGGAGAGAAACUUGCCCCAGUGUGAUAAUCCUGUUGCGCUGUGGUGGGCGAAAGUCUGCUUCCAACCGUCCCUCCGGGGACAUACAUCAUCUCAUUUUGACCUCAAAUCAGGUAGGACUACCCGCUGAACUUAAGCAUAUCAAUAAGCGGAGGAAAAGAAACUAACAAGGAUUCCCCUAGUAACUGCGAGUGAAGCGGGAAAAGCUCAAAUUUAAAAUCUGGCGGUCGCUAUGGCCGUCCGAGUUGUAAUCUGGAGAAGUGUUUUCCGCGUCGGACCGUGUACAAGUCUUCUGGAACGGAGCGUCAUAGAGGGUGAGAAUCCCGUCUCUGACACGGACUGCCGAUGCUUUAUGUGAUACGCUCUC
rnacentral:rRNA from 1 species